UACGUAGGGUGCGAGCGUUGUUCGGAAUUACUGGGCGUAAAGGGCGCGUAGGCGGCCAACUAAGUCGGACGUGAAAUCCCCUGGCUCAACCAGGGAACUGCGUCCGAUACUGGAUGGCUUGAAUCCGGGAGAGGGAUGUGGAAUUCCAGGUGUAGCGGUGAAAUGCGCAGAUAUCGGGAGGAACACCAAUGGCGAAGGCAGCUCGCUGGGACGGUACUGACGCUGAGACGCGAAAGCGUGGGGAGCAAACAGG
rnacentral:rRNA from 1 species